rnacentral:rRNA from 1 species
UACGUAGGUGGCGAGCGUUGUCCGGAUUUACUGGGCGUAAAGAGCGCGCAGGCGGCUGGUCAAGUCCGAUGUGAAAGCUCCCGGCUUAACUGGGAAAUUGCAUCGGAAACUGAUCGGCUGGAAGGUGGGAGAGGGUAGCGGAAUUCCCGGUGUAGUGGUGAAAUGCGUAGAUAUCGGGAGGAACACCAGUGGCGGAAAAGCGGCUACCUGGCCCAUUCUUGACGCUGAGGCGCGGAAAAGCUAGGGGAGCAAACGGGG